rnacentral:rRNA from 1 species
GAGAUGUUGGGUUAAGUCCCGCAACGAGCGCAACCCUCAUCCUUAGUUGCCAUCACGUUUGGGUGGGCACUCUAGGGAAACUGCCGGUGCUAAGCCGGAGGAAGGCGGGGAUGACGUCAAGUCAGCAUGGCCCUUACGUCCUGGGCUACACGCACGCUACAAUGGGUGGGACAACGGGUAGCCAAGCCGCGAGGCGGAGCGAAUCCCCUAAACCCAUCCUCAGUUCAGAUUGUGGGCUGCAACUCGCCCGCAUGAAGUCGGAGUCGCUAGUAACCGCCGGUCAGCAGUACGGCGGUGAAUACGUUCCCGGGCCUUGUACACACCGC